GACGAACGCUGGCGGCGUGCUUAACACAUGCAAGUCGAGCGGAGCGGCGAACGGGUGAGUAACGCGUUAGUAACUGCCCCCCUCCCUGGGGUAACAGUUGGAAACGGCUGCUAAUACCGGAUAGUGGGGGAUGACUCGCGUCCUAUCAGCUUGUUGGUGAGGUAGUGGCCUACCAAGGCGACGCCGGGUAGCCGGCCUGAGAGGGCGAACGGCCACAUUGGGCGGAGAUACGGCCCAAACGCCUACGGGGUGGAGCAGUGGGGAAUAUUGCACAAGGGGGGAAACCCUGAUGCAGCAACGCCGCGUGGGGGAUUCAGGCUUUCGGGUUGUAAACCUCUUUCGCUAUCGAAAGGGUAGGUGGAGAAGAAGCGCCGGCUAACUACGUGCCAGCAGCCGCGGUAAUUC
rnacentral:rRNA from 1 species